CAGCCGCCGCGGGAAUACGGAGGGUGCAAGCGUUAAUCGGAAUUACUGGGCGUAAAGCGCACGCAGGCGGUCUGACAAGUCAGAUGUGAAAUCCCCGGGCUUAACCUGGGAACUGCAUUUGAAACUGUCAGGCUGGAGUCUUGUAGAGGGGGGUAGAAUUCCAGGUGUAGCGGUGAAAUGCGUAGAGAUCUGGAGGAAUACCGGUGGCGAAGGCGGCCCCCUGGACAAAGACUGACGCUCAGGUGCGAAAGCGUGGGGAGCAAACAGGAUUAGAUACCCGUGUAGUCCCUGUCUCUUAUAU
rnacentral:rRNA from 1 species